rnacentral:rRNA from 1 species
UACGGAGGGUGCUAGCGUUGUUCGGAAUUACUGGGCGUAAAGAGCUCGUAGGCGGUCUGUCGCGUCUGCUGUGAAAACUCAGGGCUUAACCCUGAGCUUGCAGCGGGUACGGGCAGACUAGAGUGCGGUAGGGGAGACUGGAAUUCCUGGUGUAGCGGUGAAAUGCGCAGAUAUCAGGAGGAACACCGGUGGCGAAGGCGGGUCUCUGGGCCGUAACUGACGCUGAGGAGCGAAAGCAUGGGGAGCGAACAGG